GGCCAGACUCCUACGGGAGGCAGCAGUGGGGAAUAUUGGGCAAUGGGCGAAAGCCUGACCCAGCAACGCCGCGUGAAGGAAGAAGGCUUUCGGGUUGUAAACUUCUUUUGACAGGGAAGAGCAGAAGACGGUACCUGUCGAAUAAGCCACGGCUAACUACGUGCCAGCAGCCGCGGUAAUACGUAUGGUGCAAGCGUUAUCCGGAUUUACUGGGUGUAAAGGGAGCGCAGGCGGCGCGUUAAGCCUGGUGUGAAAGCCCGCGGCCCAACCGCGGGACUGCAUUGGGAACUGGCGCGCUGGAGUGCCGGAGGGGUAGGCGGAAUUCCUAGUGUAGCGGUGAAAUGCGUAGAUAUUAGGAGGAACACCAGUGGCGAAGGCGGCCUGCUGGACGAUGACUGACGUUGAGGCUCGAAAGCGUGGGGAGCAAACAGGAUUAGAUACCCUCGUA
rnacentral:rRNA from 1 species